GCCCUGGAAGGUUCAAGGAUGCCCUGUUCUCUCUCUGUUCCUCCUCAUUAGGCUGUGUAAUGAGCUGCAGGUCCACUGAGGAGCUGCAGAAGCCCCAGCCUCCAUCCACCUUUUGUCCUCUCUGAGGAGUCCCCUUCUCAAAUGCUGGAGGGUGGCCUCUGAGACUGCUGCAACUUCUCCUUCCACCCCCGCCUCCCCGCUCCAAGGCCCACAGGUGACCCUCUUUGCCCAAAGGAGUCCUGGACGUCCCAC